UACGAAGGGGGCUAGCGUUGCUCGGAAUCACUGGGCGUAAAGCGCACGUAGGCGGAUUGCUAAGUCAGGGGUGAAAUCCUGGAGCUCAACUCCAGAACUGCCUUUGAUACUGGUGAUCUUGAGUCCGAUAGAGGUGGGUGGAAUUCCUAGUGUAGAGGUGAAAUUCGUAGAUAUUAGGAAGAACACCGGUGGCGAAGGCGGCCCACUGGAUCGGUACUGACACUGAGGUGCGAAAGCGUGGGGAGCAAACAGG
rnacentral:rRNA from 1 species